rnacentral:rRNA from 1 species
AUGACGUCAAGUCAUCAUGGCCCUUACGACCAGGGCUACACACGUGCUACAAUGGCGCAUACAAAGAGAAGCGACCUCGCGAGAGCAAGCGGACCUCAUAAAGUGCGUCGUAGUCCGGAUUGGAGUCUGCAACUCGACUCCAUGAAGUCGGAAUCGCUAGUAAUCGUGGAUCAGAAUGCCACGGUGAAUACGUUCCCGGGCCUUGUACACACCGCCCGUCACACCAUGGGAGUGGGUUGCAAAAGAAGUAGG